rnacentral:rRNA from 1 species
UACAGAGGGUGCAAGCGUUGUUCGGAAUUACUGGGCGUAAAGCGCGUGUAGGCGGUCUGCCAAGUCUGAUGUGAAAGCCCUGGGCUCAACCCAGGAAGUGCGUCAGAUACUGGUGGACUGGAGUGGCGGAGAGGAUGGCGGAAUUCCCGGUGUAGAGGUGAAAUUCGUAGAUAUUCGCAAGAACACCAGUGGCGAAGGCGGCUCACUGGCCCGAUACUGACGCUGAGGUGCGAAAGCGUGGGGAGCAAACAGG